rnacentral:rRNA from 1 species
GACGAACGCUGGCGGCGUGCCUAAUACAUGCAAGUCGAGCGAGCUUGCCUAGAUGAAUUUGGUGCUUGCACCAAAUGAAACUAGAUACAAGCGAGCGGCGGACGGGUGAGUAACACGUGGGUAACCUGCCCAAGAGACUGGGAUAACACCUGGAGACAGAUGCUAAUACCGGAUAACAACACUAGACGCAUGUCUAGAGUUUAAAAGAUGGUUCUGCUAUCACUCUUGGAUGGACCUGCGGUGCAUUAGCUAGUUGGUAAGGUAACGGCUUACCAAGGCAAUGAUGCAUAGCCGAGUUGAGAGACUGAUCGGCCACAUUGGGACUGAGACACGGCCCAAACUCCUACGGGAGGCAGCAGUAGGGAAUCUUCCACAAUGGACGCAAGUCUGAUGGAGCAACGCCGCGUGAGUGAAGAAGGGUUUCGGCUCGUAAAGCUCUGUUGGUAGUGAAGAAAGAUAGAGGUAGUAACUGGCCUUUAUUUGACGGUAAUUACUUAGAAAGUCACGGCUAACUACGUGCCAGCAGCCGCGGUAAUACGUAGGUGGCAAGCGUUGUCCGGAUUUAUUGGGCGUAAAGCGAGUGCAGGCGGUUCAAUAAGUCUGAUGUGAAAGCCUUCGGCUCAACCGGAGAAUUGCAUCAGAAACUGUUGAACUUGAGUGCAGAAGAGGAGAGUGGAACUCCAUGUGUAGCGGUGGAAUGCGUAGAUAUAUGGAAGAACACCAGUGGCGAAGGCGGCUCUCUGGUCUGCAACUGACGCUGAGGCUCGAAAGCAUGGGUAGCGAACAGG